AAGCCAUGACCAUGGAUAAGAUGGCUGUGCUGUCUACAAACCAAAGUGCAGAGGGUGUUAAGAAGCAUACUCUACAAAGGCCUCAGUGGGGAUUUGGAGGUUUCUUUCCAUCCUUCGGCUGAGGCGCUGAUGAUCUGCAGCAUUGGCAGUAGCUGUGAAAAUUUCCUGGCUGACUCUGCCCUUGGAUGGAAGGUUCAAGUCGGAAGUCCUUCCCUGUCCUUCCAUGCUGCCCUACAAUGUCCAUCUGUGCCUCUUCAGAAUAACCAUCUUCAACCAUCCACUUGUCUGUGCUGCACCACAAAAGCUAUACCAUAGGAGUCUGGAGGCCCCCUGGGACGUAGUGCACAAAUCACCAAAAUGAAAAGGGUCAACCACUAACCCUGUGGAUUUGUGAUUCACCCUCCAGACAGGUUAAUCUUUGACCUUUCAGAGCAAUGUCAGUUUUGGUUGAUUGAGAUGAAGUGCCUGAAUGUUAAAAGCUGUUGACAACCCCUAUCUCCAAAUGAAGUCAGUCAAACUGCAGCUAAAACAAACACAUUCUGGCUUCUACAGGGGCAGAUACUAAUAUUGGGAAUUAAUUUGUGUGAUUUUGUAGUCUCAGCUGAGAAAGGCGUGCUCAUUAAAAGAAUAUGCAGAGACAGUGAAGUUUUGGAUUUGAUUAAAGAGAUAGUAGACAGGUUUUUUU